rnacentral:rRNA from 1 species
CACGUAGGGGGCAAGCGUUGUCCGGAUUUAUUGGGCGUAAAGAGCUCGUAGGCGGCUCAGUAAGUCGGGUGUGAAACCUCCAGGCUCAACCUGGAGACGCCACCUGAUACUGCUGUGGCUAGAGUCCGGUAGGGGAGCGUGGAAUUCCUGGUGUAGCGGUGAAAUGACGCAGAUAUCAGGAGGAACACCGGUGGCGAAGGCGGGUCUCUGGGCCGAUAUUGACGCUGAGGCACGAAGGCCAGGGGAGCAAACGGG